AGUUUUCUAAACUCCCAAACCCAUGUGAACUUACCAUUGUUGCCUCGGCGGAGCCUACCCUGUAGCUACCCUAUAAGGUGGUUACCCUGUAGUGCCCCGCCGGUGGAUUUUCAAACUCUUGUUAUUUAUAGUAAUCUGAGAGUCUUAUUUUAAAUAAGUCAAAACUUUCAACAACGGAUCUCUUGGUUCUGGCAUCGAUGAAGAACGCAGCGAAAUGCGAUAAGUAAUGUGAAUUGCAGAAUUCAGUGAAUCAUCGAAUCUUUGAACGCACAUUGCGCCCAUUAGUAUUCUAGUGGGCAUGCCUGUUCGAGCGUCAUUUCAACCCUUAAGCCUAGCUUAGUGUUGGGAGUCUACGAGUGGGCCAGGCUACCCUGUAGCGUGGUUACCCUGUAGUUCCUGAAAAUCAACGGCGGAUUUACAGUAUCCUCUGAGCGUAGUAAUUCUUUAUCUCGCUUCUGUUUAGGUGCUGUGACUUCGGCCGCUAAACCCCCA
rnacentral:rRNA from 1 species